rnacentral:rRNA from 1 species
UACGUAGGGCGCGAGCGUUAUCCGGAAUUAUUGGGCGUAAAGAGCUCGUAGGCGGUUUGUCACGUCUGCUGUGAAAACUGGAGGCUCAACCUCCAGCCUGCAGUGGGUACGGGCAGACUAGAGUGCGGUAGGGGAGAUUGGAAUUCCUGGUGUAGCGGUGAAAUGCGUAGAUAUCUGGAGGAACACCGAUGGCGAAGGCAGCCCCCUGGGCUAACACUGACGCUCAUGCACGAAAGCGUGGGGAGCAAACAGG